rnacentral:rRNA from 1 species
UACGGGGGGGGCAAGCGUUGUUCGGAAUUACUGGGCGUAAAGGGCUCGUAGGUGGCCAACUAAGUCAGACGUGAAAUCCCUCAGCUUAACUGGGGAACUGCGUCUGAUACUGGAUGGCUUGAGUUUGGGAGAGGGAUGCGGAAUUCCAGGUGUAGCGGUGAAAUGCGUAGAUAUCUGGAGGAACACCGGUGGCGAAGGCGGUCUGCUGGGCAGUUGCUGACACUGAUGCGCGACAGCGUGGGGAGCAAACAGG